rnacentral:rRNA from 1 species
UACGUAGGGGGCAAGCGUUGUCCGGAUUUAUUGGGCGUAAAGAGCGUGUAGGCGGCCUGAAAGGUCAGCUGUGAAAGCCCCGGGCUCAACCUGGGAAUUGCAUUUGAGACUGCGUAGCUAGGGUGCGGAAGAGGGAAGCGGAAUUUCCGGUGUAGCGGUGAAAUGCGUAGAUAUCGGAAGGAACACCAGUGGCGAAAGCGGCUUCCUGGUCCAGCACCGACGUUCAGGCACGAAAGCGUGGGGAGCAAACAGG